rnacentral:lncRNA from 1 species
CAUAACUGAAAUUUCAGUUUGAACUGGAUGAGGGACGCUGUUUAGUUCAGUGACCACUGAGGACCUCCGGCAGGCUUCGGGAUGUGCAAAGACAGCCAGGAUUCAGCCUGCCUCACUGCACUGUGCAAAUACAAGCCUGGUUACGUCUGUGUAGCUUAGUUUCCCCAGCCCACCUGAGCCAGAGCUGGGUCUGCCCGUGAUCCCGCUUCUAUUGACAUCCAGCAACUCCAAAUGACCUCUCCUAUCUCAAUGGGCUCAUCUCCGAAGCCGAAUCUUAUAGCCUGCUUCUCCUCCCUACCAGGCUAUAGCGGGAAAUCAUUGAGGAAACUAUGGUUGAAUGCAUCACACGGCCUCUCUGGUGUCUGAGAGAGGCUUCAUAGCCAGCAGGCUGCCGCUGGUGGGCAGGUGCUGCAUGGAGGUACCACGCCUCCCGUGCAGCGAGUAAGAAGGGCAAGGAGAGCUUGUCAGGGGAGUGGGCCAAGCUGUCACAUCAGAUGGGCCAGGCCUCGCAUCACUCUCUGCAUCCUAAGCAACGUCUGGACUUGAGUGCGUGGGUUUGUGGUACUGCAAUGCCGCAGUACCUUGGGGAGCCCCCAGGCAAGCCCAGAAAGUUCUGGGAGGCCACAGCCCUUCACUCAAGUUCAAAGGUUCAAAGCAGGGAUUCCGUGUCACACUUGCGAAGGCGCCCACCCCAACAGAAGCUGUGGCUCUGCAGGACGCGUGCGGGGCAGAGCUCUAAGGCCUUGUCCCAGUGGAAAUGCCCUCCCACUUGGCCUGGGUAGCCGCUCACACUUCUGAAACGGGAAAAAUCAACUGCAUUCCUGAAUGGGAGCCUCAGAGCAUUAGAAAAGAUAAUGUUCCAAUUUUUUAAAGCUAAAUGUAUGUGGAAGGAAGCUGAAAGAGGACUUUUGAUGAGUCACCUAAUGUUGAUGUUGAAAUAAACCUAAUGACCCUCUGGCUAAAAUCUGUUCUGGCUCGGGAAGCACCUGAACCCUCGUUCUCCCGCCACUGCUCUGACCUCUGGAAAGCAAGGAGCAAAGGCACACUCAGCAGCUCCCGCUCCAAAAUGCUCUCCCAAGUCCUCCCAAGCAGUCAGAGGACGACUCCACACCCAGAACCCAGAGUGGCCUGGGAACCAGGCCUCAGGUUCCUGGCCCAUUUGUCAUCGCCCAGGGUCCUCCUGCCAGGAAUCCCCCCGCAUCCUGCCCUGCCUAGAGAAGCCCAGCUCUUCCAUCAAAGUUCUGCUCAAAUGUCACUGCAUGUUACGUCUUCCUCACACACUCCCACUAGCCUUACCGCAUCAUGCUUGGUUUGCUGAGCUAUGUGUGAGGUCUUUCCUUGCCAACCCUUCUUUCCCUGAGAGGUGCAAUGACCUCAUAUUGAGGCUGUCCACUCCCCAACUCCCGAC